UAUCCUCAUAUGGUGGUCUCUUCCUUUCUUUUCCUCUCCUGGUUCAUAUUUGGGCCAGAGUGACCUCUGGCAUUUACCUCCAACUAACUUUGAGGUGCAGGAGCCCACAAGCCAUCAUUUAUCCUUUGGCAAAUAUAGCAGCAGUUAGCUAGCCUGUCUGUCACUUUUAGGAUUCUUGGGGGGAUAGAGAUGAGACUCCCAUGCCUGCCAAAUGCAGGGGACAAAUAUCCUGUCUCCAGGUGACACUGCUGGAACCCUUCUGCCUUGAGUAACAUAAAGAAGAGGAAAGAAUGAUGAAAGAAUUAUCAAACAAAUGAGAUGCUUGUAAACUUCAUUAGUUAUCUGAAGCCACAAAGGGGCAUUUAAUAAACCAUUCCUCUCAAAA
rnacentral:antisense_RNA from 1 species